rnacentral:rRNA from 1 species
AUUCCGGUUGAUCCUGCCGGAGGUCAUUGCUAUUGGAGUCCGAUUUAGCCAUGCUAGUCGCACGAGUUCAGACUCGUGGCAGAUAGCUCAGUAACACGUGGCCAAACUACCCUACAGAGCGGGAUAACCUCGGGAAACUGAGGCUAAUCCUGCAUACGGCUCUCACGCUGGAACUGCGGAGAGCUCGAAAUGCUUCGGCGCUGUAGGAUGUGGCUGCGGCCGAUUAGGUAGACGGUGGGGUAACGGCCCACCGUGCCAGUAAUCGGUACGGGUUGUGAGAGCAAGAGCCCGGAGACGGU